rnacentral:rRNA from 1 species
GACGAACCGUGCGAACGUUGUUCGGAAUCACUGGGCUUAAAGGGCGCGUAGGCGGCUUGUCGCGUCGGCUGUGAAAACCCGCGGCUCAACUGUGGGCGGGCAGCUGAUACGGGCAGGCUGGAGUUCGGUAGGGGAGACUGGAAUUCCUGGUGUAGCGGUGAAAUGCGCAGAUAUCAGGAGGAACACCAAUGGCGAAGGCAGCUCGCUGGGACGGUACUGACGCUGAGGCGCGAAAGCGUGGGGAGCAAACAGG